rnacentral:tRNA from 2 species
GCGCCCAUAGCUCAGUAGGAUAGAGCAACGGCCUUCUAAGCCGUAGGUCUGUGGUUCGAAUCCACAUGGGCGUA